UACGUAGGGCGCAAGCGUUGUCCGGAAUUAUUGGGCGUAAAGAGCUCGUAGGCGGUUUGUCGCGUCUGCUGUGAAAACCUAAGGCUCAACCUUGGGCUUGCAGUGGGUACGGGCAGACUAGAGUGCGGUAGGGGUGACUGGAAUUCCUGGUGUAGCGGUGGAAUGCGCAGAUAUCAGGAGGAACACCGAUGGCGAAGGCAGGUCACUGGGCCGCAACUGACGCUGGAGGAAGCGAAAGCAUGGGGAGC
rnacentral:rRNA from 1 species